UUCCCGAGCCUCAGUUUCCUUAGCACAAACAGGCUGGCAGUUUCCUGGGGCUUGUCAGAUGCCUGAUGGAUCAGAAAGCUUCCUGCAGCCCUGAAAGGGAGUCCAGAGCAGAGGCGGGCCUGCAGUCCACUUUUACAGAACAGCCGUCUACCUGUCUUCCUGGCUUGCUCUCCCCAGGAAUGGUCUGGGGCAACCCCAGCAACACGCCCACCUGUGACCAGGAUGACCAGGAAUCCAGUUCAGGCUUGGCUUCCAUGGCAAUCAAGGCCCACCAGGCCUCAGCAACCUUCCCUACCCCCCAUUCCUUUUUGCUUGCCCCCCUCCACACCAGGCAUGUUCCCUGCCAUGCCAUGCUGUUCUCCUCACCUUGGCUGCCCUCCCAACUCCUCCCUGCCUCUAGAGAUGCUCUGCCAUUCAAGACUUGACUCAGGCUCCAGGUCCUCCCUGGGCCUUCUAGAGCCCCUGGUUCUCACUCCUCGGAACACUUCCAGCCUGGCUGAUAGCCCAUUGCAUCCUAGCCUGGGGUACAAGUGGCCAGCACAGGUGUGAGGGUCAACUUCCAACAAGCAUGGGUAGGUCCCUCUGCAGACCUUGGGCUGCGAGAGGCAGGGCCUUGCCCACUGCAGUGGCCCUGCACAGGGCUGGGCACAAAGCAGGUAGGUGUCCACCAAUCCAGUAUCCAAAACCCUGCUCGGUUCACCCCCACCUCUGUUGAAGGAAAGCAACACUGUGAUGGAGAGGAGCAGCUGUGGAUUCAAAUCCUGACUUGGCCACUUUCUAGUUGUGCGACUUGGUGCAUCUGCCCUCAUCUCCUCAGAGACACAAAUGGCAACACCUCCCUUCUUGGGUUACUGUGAGGAUUAAAUAACAAAACCUCCAAGAAGCAGA